rnacentral:rRNA from 1 species
UACGGAGGGUGCGAGCGUUGUUCGGAAUCACUGGGCGUAAAGGGCGUGUAGGCGGUCCGCUAAGUCUGAUGUGAAAGCCCGGGGCUCACCCCCGGAAGGGCAUUGGAAACUGGCGGACUCGAGUCUCGGAGAGGAAGGUGGAAUUCCUGGUGUAGCGGUGAAAUGCGUAGAUAUCAGGAGGAAUACCGGUGGCGAAGGCGGCCUUCUGGACGAUGACUGACGCUGAGACGCGAAAGCUAGGGGAGCAAACGGG